ACGUAGGUGGCAAGCGUUGUCCGGAAUUAUUGGGCGUAAAGCGCUCGCAGGCGGUCCUUUAGGUCUGAUGUGAAAUCACGUGGCUCAACCACGUGCGGUCAUUGGAAACUGGAGGACUUGAGUGCAGAAGAGGAAAGUGGAAUUCCAAGUGUAGCGGUGAAAUGCGUAGAGAUUUGGAGGAACACCAGUGGCGAAGGCGACUUUCUGGUCUGUAACUGACGCUGAGGCGCGAAAGCGUGGGGAGCAAACAGGA
rnacentral:rRNA from 1 species